UUGACCUCGAAUCAGGUAGGAAUACCCGCUGAACUUAAGCAUAUCAAUAAGCGGAGGAAAAGAAACCAACCGGGAUUACCUCAGUAACGGCGAGUGAAGCGGUAACAGCUCAAAUUUGAAAUCUGGCUCCUUCGGAGUCCGAGUUGUAAUUUGUAGAAGAUGCUUUGGGUGAUGGGUGCGGCCUAAGUUCCUUGGAACAGGACGUCAUAGAGGGUGAGAAUCCCGUAUGUGGCCGCGGCCCACGCCCGUGUAAAGCUCUUUCGACGAGUCGAGUUGUUUGGGAAUGCAGCUCAAAAUGGGUGGUAAAUUUCAUCUAAAGCUAAAUAUGGGCCAGAGACCGAUAGCGCACAAGUAGAGUGAUCGAAAGAUGAAAAGCACUUUGGAAAGAGAGUUAAACAGUACGUGAAAUUGUUGAAAGGGAAGCGCUUGCAACCAGACUUGGGCGCUGCCGAUCACCUCGAGUUCUCUCGAGUGCACUCGACAGCGCACAGGCCAGCAUCGGUUCGGGUGGCUGGAUAAAGGCCGUAGGAACGUAGCUGCCUUCGGGGAGUGUUAUAGCCUACGGUGCCAUGCAGCCCAGCCGGACCGAGGACCGCGCCUUCGGGCUAGGAUGCUGGCGUAAUGGUUGUAAGCGACCCGUCUUGAAACACGGACCAAGGAGUCUAACAUCUAUGCGAGUGUUUGGGCGUUAAACCCAUACGCGGAAUGAAAGUGAACGUAGGUGAGAACCCCCGGUGGGGCGCAUCAUCGACCGAUCCUGAUGUCUUCGGA
rnacentral:rRNA from 1 species